AUUUCCUUUCCGAUCUCACCACACCCAAGUAGUAACAGGAAAGAAACCUGAACACUCAGCUGUUCUCGCUGUUCCAUGCCCAACACUACCUUUAGUUCUCCGUUGUAUUUCGGGUUUACUGAAGGCAUUUAAAUGACCAAGGCGAGCGCGUGUAACAACUGGGUCCCUUCACGGACGACGGCGGGAGAUUAAUGGAGAGUCCAGAGAAACAUCAGAGCUGUGUCUGGACAGAAGAAUGUCACUCUUCAAUGCCGAGCUCCAAACAACGGACAUCCUCACACGACCGUAGAGUGGAGCAGACCUGACCUUGGGGAUCAAUAUGUGCUUUUGUACCGGGACGGGCACUUUAACUCACACAACCAGCAUCCAUCAUUUGUGAACCGGGUGGAUCUGCAGGACAGACAGAUGAAGGAUGGAGACGUCUCUCUGAUUCUGAAGAAUGUGACAAUUAAUGAUGCUGGAACAUACGAGUGUCGUGUCAAGACAGAAACACACUGCAGAAAGAGAGCUAAUCUCAGUGUUGACCCCAUCAUCAUCAUCAGCCUGAGUGUUGAUCCUUCAGGUCAGACAGGAGGAGACACAGAGGAUGGAGGGAAGGAGGGUGGAGUCACUAGAGGACGUUCUGGUCUGUCAGUUUUUGCUGUGAUUUGUGUUCUUAUAGCUGCUUUUGUGAUCUCUGGAAAAUUGAAGAACAUAAAUUCCCCACUUCCUCCUCCUGAACAACAGCAAGUCUAAAAAAAGAAGAAGCUCUUCACUUUUUUUAUUUCUUUGUCUUCAGACAAACCAGUUUACUGUAACAGUACAGACAUGUUUUGGCAUUCCUUCAGAAUCAGCUAUAAAUAUGAGUAAAACAAAGCGAUUCAUUAUUGCUACAUACGUGGCCCUUAUACAGGACAUCAGUCUUAGUCAUCUGUCUCUGAAAUUUGCUCUGACUAAAUGAAGAUGUGAAUUCUGUCAGAUUCUAUUACUGUGUAAUCUCAGAGUUUAAACUGUGGUCCAGAAGUGUCUGAUGUGGUUGUGGAGCACUCUGAUGAUCAUGUUACAUCAUUUAUUUAUUUAUGUAUUUAUUUAUUUAUUUUUCUUUCUUUGCUGUUGUCAAGUGUUUAAUGUUAAAGGUGAAAUUAUUCUUCCUCUGCUGCACCUAUCUCCUGCGGUGUGCCUCAAGGAUCUGUCCUUGGUCCCCUGCUCUUCUCACUGUAUAUGCUUCCCUUAGGCACAAUCUUUGAGAAGUACAACAUUGCACAUCAUUGUUAUGCUGAUGACAUACAGAUCUAUUUUGAAUUAACUGAUGAUCGUUCCAUGUCUUUGCACUGUUUUCAUAAGUGUAUGCGUGAGGUCAAAGAUUGGCUCUCUGGUAACUCCCUUAGCUUAAAUGUCAGGAAAACCGAAAUCAUCGUGUUUGACAGUAAUAUUCCUUGCAGCCAGUAAUAUCCCAAGCAUUGGCUUCCCGUUAAGUACCGUAUUUAUUUCAAAAUUUCAUCUCCGAGGAAGUUAUCCCAGAGAGAAGUAAAGCAAGUGUGUAAGUUCAUCUCUGAAUGUUUGUAAAGCGUUCCCGCGUUAAGCUUAACAACCGAUAUAUGGAGCGAGUGCCUCUCUCUCUCCCUCCCUCUCCUGUCGCUACUUCAAUGUGAAACUGAUCAACGAUCAGCUGAUCGGAUUUUCUGUCGCGAGUCCGUCUCUCUUCUUUGUUUUUGGCCCACUUUGCACCAGAAAGAGGAAACCAGCGGCUGAACAACAGCAGCACGUUUAAGCUUGAUAAGCUGUUAGAAUUUAUUUAAUAUUACUUUCUAGACCAGGAUCCUUUUCUACGUAGCUGACGGCUGGUAACUGUGCAGGGGCGGAUCUAGCAAAGUUUAGCCAGGGGGGCCGAUAGGGCAUUAACAGGGAAAAGGGGCACAAAGACAUACUUUUCUUUCUUAUUCUCAUUUAAAAUGUCUAGCUUUUAAUAAAUAAUUAUCUGAAUCUUACACCCAAAGUUUUAAUCUGGUGUAAAAUGUAUAGAAGUCCAUUACUGUAUAACUGUUAAGUCUAAUAUACCCUAGUAAGCUAUAGUACUUUUUCCUUUGGGAAGGUACCAUCUGUGAAUUCUGCAAUUCUGUUGAAGAAAGAUGUUGAAUCUAUUUAAUUAUUCUUGAAAAAUAAUUUAUUUCUGUGCAUUUUUUUUUCACCCUGCAUCAAAUUAAAGUUGAUUACAUCGAUUAAGCAUCAUGAGGUGGAGGGUGGGGGGUGGUUCCCUAUUUUUUUUUGCUGGGAGUUUGCAACCCUAUUAGUUAGGUUGCUUAAUAUUUCUGCUAAGUACUCUUUAAAAUACCAGAAUAGGAAGGAUGGAGUAGGUUUAAGUUUAUUAGAUUGAUCAGUGUUGCUGAACUAUGAAAUACUUUGGGCGCAGUGUAUUUUUUACAUACAGGUAUAACAGAAUAGCUUUAGUGUUGCUGUUUAUUUAAACUUCAGUAUGAACUUAUACAAAAUGCAGCAAGAUAUUAAAAAAACAGUUUUCUUGAUUAAAAAACACUAUAUCGGAUUCAUAUCGGUAUCGGCAGAUAUCCAAAUUUAUGAUAUCGGUAUCGGACAUAAAAAAGUGGUAUCGUGCCAUCUCUAGUAAUAAGAUCAUCUUCCCAGUCACUUCUGGUACAGCUGAGAUCCCGACUGAAGACUAGAGGGCGUGUUUGCCUUGGCUGCACCCGAUUUGUGGAAUAGCCUCCCCAUUACUAUCCAUGACUCUGAUUCCCUUCAAUCCUUCAAAUUGCAGUUAAAAACCUAUUUAUUUAACCUUAACGGCAUCAACCUGCGAGCAUGUUUGGUACUUUUCCAUGGGCUUCAUCUGUCUCUAUUAUUAUAUCUGACCUCCUUGUAUGAUCAGCACUUUGGCAUACCACUGGUUUUGAAAUGUGAUAUAUAAAUAAAGUUUGUUGUUGUUAUUUUCUGUACUAACAGGCUAUAAAACUAAAUGAUCUGUUACUUUAAGUGGAAUUUUGACUUUAAUGCCAUGAGUCACCGCCCAUGUUGUGUUUAUGUGUUUCUUUGUAUUUUUAGAUUCUCAGAUUAUUUUUUUAUAUAUGUGGAAUAUACCGAAGACUUUUCAAUGGAACAAGACGAGCAGAUGAAACAUCUGCUUCCCACCAGGGAUUAUGGACAGAGAUUAAGUCCCAACCCGACCGAUAGCACGUCCUCUUUGGAACCAAGAUAGUGAUAGAAAUUUUGAGGUGUAGGAUGUAAGAGGUUAAGCCACGCAAGGUGAGUGCAUCCCACACUGGAGCGUCCAGUGUGCUGUGACGUGCUGUGCUGCUGUACCAGUGCAGCUCCAUGUCCAAGUCGAAUUUUAUGCUUCAUCGACCGAUCUAAUGCAAAGGAAAUAUGGCUAUGACGCCCUUGCUCCCCACUGCACUCCUUUGACCUGUGGUUUCAGUUCCUGGUUUGGUUUCUGCGUUUAAAGGUAAGUUGGCAUCAUUUGUUAAGUUGUUCCGCC
ensembl:lncRNA